UAGUAGAGAUGGGGUUUUGCCAUGUUGCCCAGGCUGGACUCGAACUCCUUGCCUCAAGUAGUCCACCUGUCUCAGCCCCGCAAAGUGCUGGGAUUACAGGAGUGAGCCACUGCACCCAGCAUUUGCCAAGACCUUUGAUGGCAGGCUUUUUCCAGGUGAUCAGUCCUUGUCUGGUCUGGCUCUGCCCCACUCUCCUUCUCACCUAGUUGGAAUCCCUAGCUACUUUUCAGUAGAGGAGAGUGUGUAUCCCAAUCCCAGCUUGGUUCAGAUCUGCAUAAAAUGAACUUCAUUCGUUGUUUUUCACCUUUGACGUGACACCGUGCCAAGAUUUCUAGCCCUGUAUGGAGGAGACGUUGGUCCCAACAAUUAGCAGCUCCUUGAUCCCAUUUCAUACAACCCAUUCUAGCAAUAACAUGAUCAAGACGGGGAGGACACCCAAAUUUCUUUGUGUCCAUCUCUUCCUUAUCUUGCCUCCUUGCCCCUUCACCAGGCAGCAACUGACCUGUGUUCUGUCAUUAUAAAUUAGUUUGAAUUUUCUAGUAUUCUACAUAAAUGGAAUUAUGUAGGAUGUAUUGUUUUUGUCUGGUUUAUUUCACUCAACCUCCCUAUUGCUAGUAUUGAUUGUUCCUUAUUAUUGCCCAGUAGUGUUCUAAAAUUUAUGAUCUAUUUACUUGAUGAUGGGCAUCUGGGGUUCUUAACUAUUACAAAUGGAGCUACUAUGAACAUUUGUGUGUACAAGUCUUAGUGUGGACAAAUACUUUUAUUUCUCUGGAAUAAAUACCAAGGGGUGGAAAGACUGGGUUCGUAUGAUAGAUGUGGUUUCACUUUUAAAGAAAAUGCCAAACUGAUUGUACCAUUUAAAUUCUAGCUAGCAAUGUUAUAUCAAUUGCCCUUAUGCUUGUCAAUCUUUGUUAUGAUCAGCCUUUCCAAUUUUAGCCAUUCUAGUGGAUGUGUAAUAAUAAUAUUGUGGCUUUGAUUUGCAUUUCACUAAUGGCUAAUGAUUUUGAGUGUCUUUUCAUGUAUAUGUUUGCCAUAUGCAGAUCUACUUUGGCGAAAUGUCUGUUCAAAUCUUUUGCCAAUUUUCCCCAAUUGGAUUGUUCUCUUUUCUUUUUCCUUUUUUUUUUUUUUUUGAGACAGAGUUUCGCUCUGUCGCCCAGGCUGGAGUGCAGUGGCCCGAUCUCGGCUCACUGCAAGCUCCGCCUCCCAGGUUCAUGCCAUUCCAUUCUCCUGCCUCAGCCUCCCGAGUAGCUGGGACUACAGGCACCUGCUACCAUGCCAGGCUAAUUUUUUGUAUUUUUUAGUAGAGACGGGGUUUCACCGUGUUAGCCAGGAUGGUCUCGAUCUCCUGACCUCGUGAUCCACCCGCCUCAGCCUCCCAAAGCGCU
rnacentral:lncRNA from 1 species